rnacentral:rRNA from 1 species
UACGGAGGAUGCAAGCGUUAUCCGGAUUUAUUGGGUUUAAAGGGUGCGUAGGCGGACUAGUAAGUCAGUGGUGAAAUCCUGCAGCUUAACUGUAGAAUUGCCGUUGAUACUGUUAGUCUUGAGUACAUUUGAGGUAGGCGGAAUGUGGUGUGUAGCGGUGAAAUGCAUAGAUAUACCACAGAACACCGAUUGCGAAGGCAGCUUACUAAACUGUAACUGACGCUGAGGCACGAAAGCGUGGGUAUCAAACAGGAUUAGA